UACGGAGGGGACUAGCGUUGUUCAGAAUUACUGGGCGUAAAGCGCACGUAGGCGGAUUUGUAAGUCAGGGGUGAAAUCCCGGGGCUCAACUCCAGAACUGCCUUUGAUACUGGAGAGCUUGAGUCCGGAAGAGGUGAGUGGAACUCCGAGUGUAGAGGUGAAAUUCGUAGAUAUUCGGAAGAACACCAGUGGCGAAGGCGGCUCACUGGUCCGGUACUGACGCUGAGGUGCGAAAGCGUGGGGAGCAAACAGG
rnacentral:rRNA from 1 species